rnacentral:lncRNA from 1 species
CUCACUGCCGGUUCCUCUCCAGACUACCAUAGCUGAUGCUCUCUGGAAAGCGCCACCUCCAGAAAGUGGGCAGAUUGACAUUUCUGGCAGAACCCUAGGAGCAGAAAAAAAAUCUGAAAAACAAAUAAGGUAACACCACCUAUAUUUUUAUAUGUUGCUUUUAGUGUCAUGUGUGACUUAGUCUCAUUUCCGGACAGGGAAUUUAUGAACUCUGUGUAUGGGGGUAGACAGAGUAAGGCCGAUAGUAAAGAUUUUCUAGCAUUCCAAAAAUAAUCCUGCAUUUAUCCUGAUAAAAAAUCCAGAAAAAGAUCCUACCAGAAAAGAAAACUCCAGGCCAAUAUCCCUGAUGAAUACAGGUUCCAAAUUUCUCAACAAAAUACUAAUAAACUGAAUGUUACAGCAUGUUAAAAGAAUCAUACGCCAUGAUGAAAUGGGAUUAAUUUCUAAGAUAUACAAGGAUGGUUCAACAUAAAGAUCAAUCAAUAUAAUACAUCACAUUUAACAGAACAAAGGAACAAAGAGAAAAUUACAUAAUCACCUCAAUAGAUGCACAAAAAGCAUUUCACAAAAUUCAAC